rnacentral:lncRNA from 1 species
AGUCUAUACAUAGUGGCUGUGAGUCGGUGUGGCUAAUUGUCUAUACAUAGUGGCUGUGAGUGUGUGAGAGAUAAGAACACAAUGAUUAGUCCUAAAUGUCCUGAGACAUCACACUGAGACAACAGAACAGAGAAGGUCAGAACAGUACAGAACAGAGCAGAACAGAACAGAACAGAGCAGAGCAGGUCACAACAGAAAAGAACAGAGCAGGUCACAACAGAAAAGAACAGAGCAGAGCAGAACAGAGCAGAACAGAACAGAGCAGAGCAGGUCACAACAGAAAAGAACAGAGCAGAUCAGAACAGGUCAGAACAGAACAGGUCAGAACAGAACAGAAAAGAACAGAGCAGGUCAGAACAGAAAAGAACAGAGCAGAACAGAACAGAGCAGAUCAGAACAGAGCAGGUCACAACAGAAAAGAACAGAGCAGAGCAGAACAGAGCAGAUCAGAACAGAGCAGUGCAGAACAGGUCAGAACAGAACAGAAAAGAACAGAGCAGGUCAGAACAGAAAGGAACAGAGCAGGUCAGAACAGAACAGAACAGGUCAGAACAGAACAGAACAGAGCAGGUCAGAACAGAAAAGAACAGAGCAGAUCAGAAUCAGAACAGAACAGGUCAGAACAGAGCAGAGCAGAAAAGGUCAGAACAGAACAGAAAAGAACAGAAAGGAACAGAGCAGGUCAGAACAGAACAGGGCAGAACAGAGCAGAGCAGAACAGAACAGGUCAGAACAGAGCAGAACAGAGCAGAGCAGAAAAGGUCAGAACAGGUCAGAACAGAGCAGAGCAGAAAAGGUCAGAACAGGUCAGAACAGAGCAGAGCAGAACAGGUCAGAACAGAACAGAGCAGAACAGAACAGAGCAGAGCAGGUCAGAACAGACCAGAGCAGGUCAGAACAGUGCAGAGCAGUGCAGAGCACAACAGAGCACAACAGAGCAGGUCAGAACAGUGCAGAGCAGAACAGAGCAGAACAGAGCAGAACAGAGCAGGUCAGAACAGUGCAGAGCAGAACAGAGCAGAACAGGUCAGAACAGAGCACAACAGAACAGAGCACAACAGUGCAGAACAGAGACCUUAAUAACUACAGGCUUAUCUCUGACACACAACACCUAAGCUACACUCAUACACAGUCUGACUGUGACACAGGAUUUUAUCAGCGAAACUAAUUCAAAUAUGUCAAUCUCUUACAGAUCCUAAAGUAAACACAGGUAACCUCCAUUUGCACUGUGGUUUCCUUGUUCAUAUGUCUAAGUUCAUGUCAACAUCUCUCAACGUCUAGAUUCCAAACGGUGCCAGUCGGCCCUGAGUGUCAAACAGACCAGGGGACGAGGCCCCGCCGGCUGUCUGAGGAACGGACCAGGGGACGAGGCCCCGCCGGCUGUCUGAGGAACGGACCAGGGGACGAGGCCCCGCCGGCUGUCUGAGGAACGGACCAGGGGACGAGGCCCCGCCGGCUGUCUGAG